CCUACGGGGGGCAGCAGUGGGGGAUAUUGCACAAUGGGGGAAACCCUGAUGCAGCGACGCCGCGUGUGGGAAGACUGUCCUCUGGAUUGUAAACCACUGUCCCCAGGGACGAAGAUGACGGUACCUGGGGAGGAAGCUCCGGCUAACUACGUGCAAGCAGCCGCGGUAAUACGUAGGGAGCGAGCGUUGUCCGGAAUUACUGGGUGUAAAGGGCGCGUAGGCGGGGAUGCAAGUUGGGUGUAAAUACUACGGGCUCAAAUGGUAGGCGCGCUGACAACUGCAGAUCUUGAGUGAAGUAGAGGCAGGCGGAAUUCGUAGUGUAGCGGUGAAAUGCGGAGAUAUUAGGAGGAACACCAGUGGCGAAGGCGGCCUGCUGGGCUGUUACUGACGCGGAGGCUCGAAAGUGUGGGGAGCAAACAGGAUUAGAUACCCUGGUAGUC
rnacentral:rRNA from 1 species